CUCCUGGAAAACGGGUGGUAAUGCCGGAUGUUCCACAUGAUCGCAUGUGAUUGUGGGAAAGAUUCUAUCGGCGUGGGAUGGGGUCGCGUCCUAUCAGCUUGUUGGUGAGGUAACGGCUCACCAAGGCUUCGACGGGUAGCCGGCCUGAGAGGGCGACCGGCCACAUUGGGACUGAGAUACGGCCCAGACUCCUACGGGAGGCAGCAGUGGGGAAUAUUGCACAAUGGGCGCAAGCCUGAUGCAGCGACGCCGCGUGAGGGAUGGAGGCCUUCGGGUUGUAAACCUCUUUUGUUUGGGAGCAAGCCUUCGGGUGAGUGUACCUUUCGAAUAAGCGCCGGCUAACUACGUGCCAGCAGCCGCGGUAAUACGUAGGGCGCAAGCGUUAUCCGGAUUUAUUGGGCGUAAAGGGCUCGUAGGCGGCUCGUCGCGUCCGGUGUGAAAGUCCAUCGCUUAACGGUGGAUCUGCGCCGGGUACGGGCGGGCUGGAGUGCGGUAGGGGAGACUGGAAUUCCCGGUGUAACGGUGGAAUGUGUAGAUAU
rnacentral:rRNA from 1 species